rnacentral:lncRNA from 1 species
AGACUGUUACCACCACCAGGCUGUUACCACCACCAGACUGUUACCACCACCAGGCUGUUACCACCACCAGGCUGUUACCACCACCAGACUGUUACCACCAGACUGUUACCACCACCAGACUGUUACCACCACUAGACUGUUACCACCAGACUUACCACCACCAGACUGUUACCACCACCAGACUGUUACCACCACCAGGCUGUUACCACCAGGCUGUUACCAACAGGCUGUUACCACCAGACUGUUACCACCACCAGACUGUUACCACCACCAGACUGUUACCACCACCAGACUGUUACCACCACCAGACUGUUACCACCAGACUGUUAACACCGCCAGACUGUUACCACCACCAGACUGUUACCACCACCAGACUGUUACCACCACCAGACUGUCACCACCACCAGACUGUUACCACCAGACUGUUACCACCAGACUGUUACCACCACCAGACUGUUACCACCAGGCUGUUACCACCAGGCUGUUACCACCAGACUGUUACCACCAGGCUGUUACCACCACCAGACUGUUACCACCACCAGACUGUUACCACCAGGCUGUUACCACCAGGCUGUUACCACCACCAGGCUGUUACCACCACCAGACUGUUACCACCACCAGACUGUUACCACCACCAGGCUGUUACCACCACCAGGCUGUUACCACCAGCAGACUGUUACCACCAGGCUGUUACCACCAGACUGUUACCACCAGUAGACUGUUACCACCAGGCUGUUACCACCAGACUGUUACCACCAGUAGACUGUUACCACCAGGCUGUUCUGUGUACUUGACUUAUUGGUCAAUAGUUGCCAAACACUAUAAUAAUGAAGGACACAGAGGCAGAAGGGAAGUACAGAGGACUUAUAGUUACUUAUCAAUAACUUUAUUAGUAUCACAACAACAAUAUUUACAUAGACAAUGUAGCAGUCUAUAGAAUACAUUACAGUAAACAUAUUUACAUAGACAAUGUAGCAGUCUAUAGAAUACAUUACAGUAACAUAUUUACAUAGACAAUGUAGCAGUCUAUAGACUGUUACCACCAUCAGACUGUUACCACCACCAGGCUGUUACCACCACCAGGCUGUUACCACCAGACUGUUACCACCAGUAGACUGUUACCACCAGACUGUUACCACCACCAGGCUGUUACCACCACCAGGCUGUUACCACCACCAGACUGUUACCACCAGUAGACUGUUACCACCAUACUUACCACCAGACUGUUACCACCACCAGACUGUUACCACCACCAGGCUGUUACCACCACCAGGCUGUUACCACCAGUAGACUGUUACCACCAGACUUUACCACCAGACUGUUACCACACCAGGCUGUUACCACCACCAGACUGUUACCACCACCAGGCUGUUACCACCACCAGCCUGUUACCAC